rnacentral:piRNA from 1 species
UGCAGAGAUCGGGUUUUAAAUCUUGAAAGC